UAGGGAAUCUUCGGCAAUGGACGGAAGUCUGACCGAGCAACGCCGCGUGAGUGAAGAAGGUUUUCGGAUCGUAAAGCUCUGUUGUAAGAGAAGAACGAGUGUGAGAGUGGAAAGUUCACACUGUGACGGUAUCUUACCAGAAAGGGACGGCUAACUACGUGCCAGCAGCCGCGGUAAUACGUAGGUCCCGAGCGUUGUCCGGAUUUAUUGGGCGUAAAGCGAGCGCAGGCGGUUAGAUAAGUCUGAAGUUAAAGGCUGUGGCUUAACCAUAGUAGGCUUUGGAAACUGUUUAACUUGAGUGCAAGAGGGGAGAGUGGAGUUCCAUGUGUAGCGGUGAAAUGCGUAGAUAUAUGGAGGAACACCGGUGGCGAAAGCGGCUCUCUGGCUUGUAACUGACGCUGAGGCUCGAAAGCGUGGGGAGCAAACAGGAUUAGAUACCCUGGUAGUCCACGCUGUAAACGAUGAGUGCUAGGUGUUAGACCCUUUCCGGGGUUUAGUGCCGUAGCUAACGCAUUAAGCACUCCGCCUGGGGAGUACGACCGCAAGGUUG
rnacentral:rRNA from 1 species